rnacentral:rRNA from 1 species
GCCCGACCUCCCAACCCUGUGUCUACACUACCUUGUCGUUGCUUCGGCGGACCGGUUACCGACCAACUGGUUCCAACGACCGCCGGGGUCGGCCUAGCCGCCCUGGAGAGCUGUCCGCCGAUGGCCAUCUACACAAACUCUUGAACAAAACCAUGUCGUCUGAAUCUAUUUUAUUGAUUAAACAAAUCAAACCAAAACUUUCAACAACGGAUCUCUUGGUUCUGGCAUCGAUGAAGAACGCAGCGAAAUGCGAUAAGUAAUGCGAAUUGCAGAAUUUCCGUGAGUCAUCGAAUCUUUGAACGCACAUUGCGCCCAUUGGUAUUCCGAUGGGCAUGCCUGUUCGAGCGUCAUUAUCCUCCCUCAAAACCCCGCGUUUUGGUGUUGGGCCGCGUCGUUGAGACACACGACGGGCCUCAAAGACAAUGACGGCGUCCGUGGGACCCUCGGUGCAACGAGCUUCUCCGUAAGCACGCCCCGAGCCAAGGUCCCCCGGGCCCGGUCGCCUCAGUUAAUUUUUUCUCAGGUUGACCUCGGAUCAGGUAGGAAUACCCGCUGAACUUAAGCAUAUCAAUAAGCGGAGGAA